rnacentral:rRNA from 1 species
ACACGUGGGUAACCUGCCUUAUAGUGGGGGAUAGCCUUUCGAAAGGAAGAUUAAUACCGCACAAGAUUGUAGUAUCGCAUGAUAUAGCAAUUAAAGGAGCAAUUCGCUAUAAGACGGACCCGCGUCGCAUUAGCUAGUUGGUGAGGUAAUGGCUCACCAAGGCGACGAUGCGUAGCCGACCUGAGAGGGUGAUCGGCCACAUUGGGACUGAGACACGGCCCAGACUCCUACGGGAGGCAGCAUG